GACGAACGCUGGCGGCGUGCUUAACACAUGCAAGUCGAACGAGUGGCGAACGGGUGAGUAAUACGUGGGUAACCUGCCCUCCUGUUUGGGAUAAGCCAUGGAAACGGGGUCUAAUACCGAAUAAAGGGGGAUGGGUGCGCGGCAUGUCAGCUUGUGGGUGGGGUGAUGGCUACCAAGGCGUGACGGGUAGCCGGCCUGAGAGGGUGAACGGCCACAUUGGGACUGGGAUACGGCACAGACUACUACGGGACGCUGGAGUGGGGGCUAUUGCACAAUGGGCGAAAGCGUGAUGCAGCGCCGCCGCGUGUAGGAAGCCGGUCUUCGGAUUGUAAACUGCUUUAGACAGGGACGCGUUACCUGUAGAAUAAGCCCCGGCUAACUACGUGCCAGCAGCCGCGGUAAUUC
rnacentral:rRNA from 1 species